GUCAGGAUGGCCGAGCGGUCUAAGGCGUCAGACUCAAGGAAACUUGACUCUCUGUUGAAGAGUUUGUGGGUGUUCUGGUCCACGAAUGUGGGCGUGGGUUCAAAUCCCACUCCUGACA
rnacentral:tRNA from 1 species